UCAUGCAUCCGACCUUCAAUCAUUUCAGGGGGCAGGUAGUCCAGGGUGCCACAGAGAGUGGUCCUCCUGAAAACGGAGGGAGGCUCAGGUUGAUGUGCUUCUCGUUUUAUGAUCACAACAGCUGCUAACAAUCAUUAAAGAGUCCACUAACACUGAGGUCUUCCCCUGGGCCAGAUCCUGUGCCCUAGGAAGUAGCUACUAUUAUAAAUUCCCAUAGGAAACAGAUGAAGCGAGGUGUGUAAGGUCACACAGCUAGCCAUCAGGCUUAACCCCAAAUCUGUCCAACUCCAGAACCUCCCUGAAUAAUCUAGAAUGUAAGAAACUGAAUGUAUCACUACCAUAUAAAAGCUGCCAUGCAAAGUUCUCUGUAAAUACGAUUUGGAUUCUACAUCUGCAUGUGGAUAUUACAGAUAUGCUAAGAAUCUUAAAAGCCUGGUCGCAAUGACAAUACACUAGAAACUGUCCCACUGUAACAGCACUGGGGUGGAGAUGUAGACACAUGCUGCCUUGUGAUAGAUACUUGGUACGAGUGAUGCUGAAAUUUUGAGGGUGGCCUAUGAAGUACUCUUGCCAAAAAUAUUUAACCUGGCUGGGUGCAGUGGCUCAUGCCUGUAAUGCCAGCACUUUGGGAGGCCGAGGGAGGCGGAUCACGAGGUCAGGAGAUCGAGACCAUCCUGGCUAACAUGGUGAAACGCCGUAUCUACUAAAAAUACAAAAAAUUAGCCGGGUGUGGUGGUGUGCGCCUGUAGUCCUAGCUACUCAGGAGGCUGAGGCAGAAGAAUGGCGUGAACCCGGGAGGCGAGCUUGUAGUGAGCCAAGAUCGCACCACUGCACUCCAGCCUGGGUGACAGAGCGAGACUCUGUCUCAAAAAAAAAAAAAAAUUUUCUUAACCUGAAUCUCUUCAGGACCUGAGACCUACAUUCCAGUUUUCAGCAAAUACGGGGAAUAAAGGUCCAAGUUAAGUGGCAACACAAUCAGAAAAGUCCUCUUUAAAGUGGGAGACUGGUCUGGCUUUAGACCACAGAGACAAUCCAACCACAGAGACAGUCCAACCACAGAGACAGUCCAACCACAGAGACAAUCCAACCACAUAGACAGUCCAAUACAAAGCAUGGGCUUUGGUUGAGUUCUGAUUUUACAAACCAGCUAUAAGAUGUCAUGGACAAUAGGAGAAAUCUGAAUGUGGACUAAAUAUUAGAUACUGACAAUGCUGUUAAUUUUCUUAGGAGUGAUCAUGGUUCUAGUUAUAUAGGAGAAUAUCCUUAUUUAGGAAAUGCAUUCUAUUAUAGUGCUUAAGGUUGAAGCAUCAUGAUGUUUGCAACGUAUUUUCAAGUGUUCACUAAAAAAGCAGAUGCAGCCCUUCUGACUAAAUGGGAAAAACUGCUGAACGUAGGCACUGUAUAGACAGGUAUGCCAUCAACUACCAAUUCCGCAUUUUUAUCGGUUUAGGUUUUUUUAACGAAGGUUGGAAAAAAGCUGGGAACAGCAGACAGCAAGCCAGAACAGUCUGUGUGGGUUCGUGUUGCUUUGUUAUCAGCUGCUCUUCACCAUGGAGGCUUACGUGGUCACAGCCCUGGUGCUGUGUUCAGCCAGGCCUGGCACCCACUGAGCACACAAACAGUCACUCACCACUGAAUUGUGACGUAGGAUUAAGAAGCUACCACUCUGGUCAUCUAACCCCUCCAUCAGCACCGACGGACUGAAUCGGGGGUUCUCAAACUGAGGCAAUAACCAGGAAAUGAUGAUGAUUAACAUCUGGGAUUUGGAGUGAAGUGACUAUCGGUUAUGUAAGUAAUCUUUUCAAAAAGCAAGAAGCCAUCUUUUCUAUCACAAUUCAACCGGUUAAGAUACAGUUUAACUCUGCGAUUCCAUGAAGCCUGUAAGUCUUUAUUCUGGUUUGUCUCACCAGAUAACAGCUCCCACUAAUGACAACCAGUUUAAAAAAAAAAAAAAAAAAAAAGACUGCAAUAGCAGAUUCAGUGCAUUGCUGGAACAAUUAGAAGUGCUCUGUAACAAAAGCAAAGGUUUUCUCCCUCAUAUUCUAUUUUAGGCUAUACUUUUUUUUUAACUAGCUUGAUUUUUAAGUCAUUUGGCUAUAAUUUGAGUCCUCCUCCAAAGUUGACAAAACUUCAUCGGUAGAUAUAUGUUUUAAAAUGCCCCACUUCAUGUGAAGUUUCAAAGCUUAUUUAAACUCAAAUUUAAAACAGUAAAGAUAUUGUAGUUCACUUGGAAAGCUAAGAUUUGAAUUGUUUUGAGACUGACAUCUCUGCUUCAGCUGUGACAGGGGAUAAGAAAGGACUAUCCCUACUAUUGACAGAGGCAGACUGAAGAGAAUCUCUCACCACUGCCCUCAAAGCACCACCAAACUAAUUUAGUGUUUCAAGUUCCCUGAUAUGGCCUGCACUCUGAGCUCUAGAUCUUUGUCAGUGCUGUCCUCUGAACCAUCUCCCCAUCUCCUCAUCCAGGAAGCAGCAGAGGUGAAGAGUUCCUCCCACUCAACAUGUGGGCACUUCACCUCUGUCAUAUACGUGUCCUAUCUGUUGACUCAUUCAUCCCUUCAUUAGCCUCUAAGGACAUUAAGCAUCUUCAACCCUAGGCCUAGAACACUGCUAAUAGCCCCAAAUCUCCACAGAAUAACACUUUCUUGCAAACCCUAGUUUAUUAUUAAGCCUAAAUUACUCCAAAGUACUUCUGGGUUAGCCACCUACCCCUCUUACAGCACAAAAUCUACACUGAAAUAUUUUACAUUUAGCUCACGGUUAGCUCCCAGGGCUUUGGUAAACCAAACAACUUCCACCUCUAAAGUUACAUACCUGGAAGAUGGAGCAUGUACUGACCACCCAAAAUCUGCAAUUUUAAGCUCUCCAGCUGAUCCAAGAACCCAAAACCGGAGAUCAAAAUUCAGACCACAAUAAACUGAAGGCAAAUACAAAGAAAGCUGCUCUUCUGACCACCAACUUUGAGUUGCUGAUGCUUUAAUUGCACACAUUAAAGUU
rnacentral:lncRNA from 10 species